AAAGAAGUUAGUUUAAUACUUAAAACAUAAAUUUGUCAAUUUUAAAAAGCUUUUUAUAUAGCACUUCUUUA
rnacentral:tRNA from 1 species